AUCUCUGUAUAAUGAAAGACCCCCCAGAGUGGGGAGACCCUCACUCAAGUCUCGGGAUGACGCAACCCCCCAAGAACUCACACAAGACC
rnacentral:pre_miRNA from 14 species